ACCUGGGUGGCUCAGUUGGUUGGGCGUCUGACUUUGACUCAGAUCAUGAUCUUGUGAUUCGUGGGUUCAAGCCCCACUUUAGGCU